rnacentral:rRNA from 1 species
AUUGAACGCUGGCGGCAUGCCUUACACAUGCAAGUCGAACGGCAGCACGGGUGCUUGCACCUGGUGGCGAGUGGCGAACGGGUGAGUAAUAUAUCGGAACGUACCUUAUUGUGGGGGAUAACGCAGCGAAAGCUGUGCUAAUACCGCAUAAUCCCUAAGGGGGAAAGCGGGGGACCGUAAGGCCUCGCGCAAUUAGAGCGGCCGAUACCUGAUUAGCUAGUUGGUGAGGUAAAGGCUCACCAAGGCAACGAUCAGUAGCUGGUCUGAGAGGACGAUCAGCCACACUGGGACUGAGACACGGCCCAGACUCCUACGGGAGGCAGCAGUGGGGAAUUUUGGACAAUGGGGGCAACCCUGAUCCAGCAAUGCCGCGUGAGUGAAGAAGGCCUUCGGGUUGUAAAGCUCUUUUGUCAGGGAAGAAACAGCAGCUCUAACACAGUUUGCGAAUGACGGUACCUAACCAGAAAGCCACGGCUAACUACGUGCCAGCAGCCGCCGUAA